AUUGAACGCUGGCGGAAUGCUUUACACAUGCAAGUCGAACGGCAGCACGGGGCAACCUGGUGGCGAGUGGCGAACGGGUGAGUAAUACAUCGGAACGUGCCCAAUCGUGGGGGAUAACGUAGCGAAAGUUACGCUAAUACCGCACACGAUCUACGGAUGAAAGCGGGGGAUCGCAAGGCCUCGCGCGAAUGGAGCGGCCGAUGUCAGAUUAGGUAGUUGGUGGGGUAAAGGCUCACCAAGCCGACGAUCUGUAGCUAGUCUGAGAGGACGACCAGCCACACUGGGACUGAGACACGGCCCAGACUCCUACGGGAGGCAGCAGUGGGGAAUUUUGGACAAUGGGCGCAAGCCUGAUCCAGCCAUUCCGCGUGCAGGAUGAAGGCCUUCGGGUUGUAAACUGCUUUUGUACGGAACGAAACGGCGAGCUCUAAUACAGUUUGCUAAUGACGGUACCGUAAGAAUAAGCACCGGCUAACUACGUGCCAGCAGCCGCCGUAACAC
rnacentral:rRNA from 1 species